rnacentral:lncRNA from 1 species
CUUUUAUGUAUAACAUAGCUUUUAUCUCAACUGGUCACAUUCCUUGACUAUUGAAACACUUUACUAGAGCUGUCACAAAUGUGAUUCAUGCUUUCACCUGGACGUGGUUGACAUAUAGAGUAAAACAACACAGAACCAUAAUCCAGGAAAUUAAAGAGCAUUUAAAAAUCUCUUAUGUACAACUAAGUAUCAAUAUUGAUCAUUACUGAAAGUUUGAAUAAAUUAUAUGAAAUAAUGAAUGACGAAUUCAGAUCACAAGCAUUUCUCUAUAUAUCAUAUAGCUCGCCAGCUAUAUUGCGAAAACGGCGUUCCAUAAAUGCGAUAAACCAAUCACAUAUUGGUAAAAAAUCACAUGAUAUCACCCAUUUCCCCAUGUGCUACACUACUUGUUGCAUUCCAAUAUACCUGUGGCCUUCAGGCCGCAGGUAAUGAAGCUGCAAUAUUUGGCUGCCGAAGCUCAAAAAGCAGUCCCAAUUUUUUUCUGCUUCUUUUACUAUUACAAUCAUCUAUGCAAAUUAAAUCAGUAAAUACUUUAACAAAUCCCCCCUUGUACUGUACAUACAGAUAUUAUUAGCACUCUAAAUGUUCAAUUCAGAACUUAAGUAUACCAAAGGAAAUUGCCCAUGAAUAUUAAAAUUUGAAUGAACAGUAAACAGGAAGUUCUUUCUUGGAGGAAAACAAAAUGGAGAUAAACUUUGUUGCUAGAAAUUUUAAAAUGGCUAUUAGACAGACAUUAGGUAAGUCUCUUAUACUAAUUUAUUUCAAAAAGUAAUUUAAUUCAGAACACAACAAGAUUAGAAAAUACUAGAUGGAAACAGGAACUUUAUCAAUCACAGAGACAGUUUCACCUGAUUACAGGUAUUUUUUGUCAGGAAUUUACUAACAUUAUAGUGCCUUUAAACAGCGAUAUAUUUAUAUCUUUUAGAAACUUAAUGUUUGUUUUUUUCUUGUAGAAUUUUUAGGUAAUUAGUACUGUGAUGGCUAUAUAUCUAUGGCUUUACAAGACUGUCCAAACACUUAGUCACAAAAAUAUUUUUCAGAAGAAAUGUGUUUAUCUGAAGUAUGUCCUCAGAAACACAUAUGCAUGAAUCAUGAUCAGUGACCACACUGCAGAAUAGAUUGGGAUCACAGAGAGACAUCAUCAAACAGAUCACAUAUGUUUCAAUAUGAAAUUGUUGGAAAGAAGUUCCCGAACUUGACUCUAGUGCUUCUAAAGCUGCCUUAAGCCAACAAAACUCCAAAAAUGUUGUUUUUUUUAGCUCACAUGUCACAAAGUGACAAGGUGAGCUUUUGUGAUCGCGCGGUGUCCGUCGUCCGUCCGUGCGUCCGUAAACUUUUGCU